rnacentral:pre_miRNA from 1 species
GGUGGCCACCGCAUCGGCUAUGAGGAGGCCGGGGCUGUUCGAUCUAGAGACUCCGGCCUCCCCGCCGGCCAAUUCGAUAGGCCAUGA